rnacentral:rRNA from 1 species
GACGAACGCUGGCGGCGUGCCUAAUACAUGCAAGUCGAGCGGAGUGGAUAGGAAGCUUGCUUUCUUGAGACUUAGCGGCGGACGGGUGAGUAACACGUAGGCAACCUGCCCUUUAGCCUGGGAUAACUACCGGAAACGGUAGCUAAUACCGGAUACUUUCUAUGUCCGCAUCGACGACGAACGAAAGACGGAGCAAUCUGUCACUGAAGGAUGGGCCUGCGGCGCAUUAGCUAGUUGGUGGGGUGACGGCUCACCAAGGCGACGAUGCGUAGCCGACCUGAGAGGGUGAUCGGCCACACUGGGACUGAGACACGGCCCAGACUCCUACGGGAGGCAGCAGUAGGGAAUCUUCCGCAAUGGGCGAAAGCCUGACGGAGCAACGCUGCGUGAGUGAUGAAGGUUUUCGGAUCGUAAAGCUCUGUUGCCAGGGAAGAACGUUUUCUAGAGUAACUGCUAGGAAAGUGACGGUACCUGAGAAGAAAGCCCCGGCUAACUACGUGCCAGCCGCCGCCGUAA